UCCACCCGACCCGAAUCCUUCCUUUCUUCCCCUCUGCCCCGACGCAAACUCCCUUCUCUGUUCUCUCUCGCGGACAAGCGACGCCGAAGGGAAUGAAGCUUGGAUCUCCGGCGAUCUCCCUCUGCCGGCAUCAACACCCUAAGCUCAGAUCUGGCCGGUGUUUCUCCUCUCCGGGUCUUCUUCGGCUGAGGAGUUGCUAUUCGGUGGAUUUUGCACCGAUUGUUAACGAUCGGUGGCUAGGGCAUGGUGAGGGGUCGGAUCUUGCAUCGUCUUCCAUCGGUAGACCUUCCCUCUCCUCUCCUCGUGUUGGACACAAUGCGAUUACUCUCUUCGCUAGCCGGAUUGGACCGGGCAGCGCCACCUAGCAGCGAUCUGGGAGUUUACACGAGGAGGAAAGCAUCGGAUUGCUGUGGAUUCUUCCUAUUGUCGAUCAUUGCUUUCUUCUUUCUUGAAGCUGUGGAGGUCUCAGAGUAAGGUAGGAUCUAGGUAUAUUGCUUGAUUCAUUGUUUGAUCCGAAUUGUGGAGUGGAAUCCAACACAUUGCUGUUCUGUGGACUUUUUGGUUCGGCAGCAACCCAUCCAUCAGUGUUCCCUUGAUCCAGAAUCAACAGCAGCUGGAUUGAGAUAUGGUGUAGUGAGGUUGAUACAUAAUUAGUGUUGUGUUGAUGAAUUAGGUAUGUAUUGAAUUCGGAAUGAAUUGGAUUGGUACAUGAUUAGUUAGGGUAAUUGAUCUUAGUUGUAGAUCAUGUUUCGAAUUUGAAUAUUAGUUUGAUGAUCUUGUUCUAGAUGGAUUAGGUUAAGUGUGAUUGAUUAGUUAUUUAUGUGUAGGUUUGAUUGGAGGU